UACGUAGGGUGCAAGCGUUAUCCGGAUUUAUUGGGCGUAAAGGGCUCGUAGGCGGUUCGUCGCGUCCGGUGUGAAAGUCCAUCGCUUAACGGUGGAUCCGCGCCGGGUACGGGCGGGCUUGAGUGCGGUAGGGGAGACUGGAAUUCCCGGUGUAACAGUGGAAUGUGUAGAUAUCGGGAAGAACACCAAUGGCGAAGGCAGGUCUCUGGGCCGUUACUGACGCUGAGGAGCGAAAGCGUGGGGAGCGAACAGG
rnacentral:rRNA from 1 species